ACAGGAAUUUUAUGAAUAAACCUUAAAAUACUUUCCCCAAUAAUAUUUAGAAAUCACUGAAACAAUCAUCAGUGUAACAGUAUUUGUGUGUAAAAUUGAAGGAGUGGGUUUUAUGGUAAAAAAAAAUAACACAAUUAUUCUAUUUUGACAUUCAUCAGUAGGUAUUUCCAAUGGCAGUGAUAAUGACACAAUUCUAGGUUAAUGGCAGAUGUUGUUGGCAACGUCAAUGAACUUUACAAUAUCUUAAUUAUUUCUGUCCAAAACAUAUUUACAGUAUGUUAAUUAAUAUUUAUGGCUUUCACUUUUAUUGAAAUAUCAAAUAUAAAUUAUGUUAAGUUAUGUGUCUGAGUUAAAAUCUGGUUGCUUUACAUCAUGAGAGUAAUUUGGAAAUGAAUUGGAUCCAAUUUCAAUCAAUCAGUGACAUAUUCAAUUAAUAUAAAUGUAUUUCUAGCAUUAAUCCGGUUAUCUCAUAUGCUCAGCUAUGAUUAUAUUUCAUUGCAAUCGGUUUUACUAAAAAUUUUGUGAUUUGAUGCACAUUAUUAAAAUAUGAUUUUUGUGAAAAAAAUUCAGAGAAACUGACCUAAAUAUAUAAUGUUUUGUCAUCUCAAUACUUAAGUAAAUUAACAAAUGUGACAAGAAUAAAGUGAUUUACAAAAUACCUUAUAGAAUAAAGAAAAUAACUAGUCUAAUUUCUACUAAGUUUAUUAUUUGUUAUGACUGGUUGCAGUAUAUUAGACCAUUUUCAAGUCUAAUAAUCCAAAACAGGUUGUAACAAAUAUUAAACUUAGUAGAAAUUAGACAAAAGUUAUUUUCUUUAUUCUAUAUUCAAUAUGAAUUUCUACAAAACAAUUAGGUAAUCAAUUGAACAAAAUACCUUAUACCUUAAAUAGAUUGGUUUCAGAAAGGUUCUAAUACCUUACAACCAUUACAACCAAAUGAAAAAUUAGUAGUUACUGAAAUAUCUAAAAAGUUACUUGGGAAAUUAUAUGCCAGAAGAAAGAUUGAAUGGUUCAACAGAGCUAUACUUCCAUAACAAAGUAGAUAAUAAAUUAGGAAAAAUAGAUACAAUGGCAACAGAUAAACCAUGGAUUUACUGGACUUGUUUGCCUCAAUGAACAAAAGCUAAGAACACAGAAGGAGUUGAGCAUAUGGAACAUAUAUGGAACAUAUGGAGCAUAUUGAACCAUGAAUCCUGAACAUUAUGGGGUAAAUAGCUCUUUGCACUAUGAUAUUGCUUGUAUAAUACUUCAUUGACAUGUAUGUAUGCACAAUUGUCAACAUGUUAGUUGACAAUUGCAUUGAACCCUCAACUACAUAUUUUUUUCAAAGACAAAUUUUUUAGAUCAACUGAUGCUCCUCUCAACAAAUUAUAUUUCCUUUUCAAAAGUUGUGCAGUAAUAACAGCUCAUCAAGCAUGCAAAACAACUUUCCAGUGAAAUUUGUAUUACCAGCAUCACACUUUGAGAAAACAUAACAAUAACAUAUUUUAUUCCUUGCUGUCUGAAAAGUUAGCGUGACAUAACAUUCCUAACCCAGUUGUGUCUACUGUCCUUCCAUAAGGACAUACAUAAACCAGAGUUCUGUAAUGCGUUUCGGCAAAGUUUGAGUGAGUGUUCUUAGAUGGCGCCAAUUGAAUUCGAUAUUCUGAUGUAUUGUUCAUAAUAAUACAGGCACAGUUAGCAGUAAACAGGUUAUGAACGAGUCAUACAAUUUAUGGACACACCACUCGACUUCAUGUUGGUUGGAGGCCUCACUCUGCACGAACUAUUGCAAUCCCUCGAAGACAGUGAUGACGACGGCCACAAUGAACUAGCACUAACAGUCUUUUCUCCAACGAAUGCUUGUGAGCAAAUUAAGUUAUUUGCAUUGUUGGACAAAUAAUAGCUGAAUUUGUAAGAAAUUCUAAUAGUUCAGGUAGCAAUCAAUUCUAAAUUCUAAACUUUUUAAAUGUAAGAUGUCAACCAAACUAAAUUCAUCAACUAUGAA